rnacentral:sRNA from 1 species
AGUACAAUGGCAUAAGGGCGGUCGGCUAGUCUCCUGUAAAGGAGGUGAUGCCUGUGGAGAUAAAAGAUGCGUUAACGUUAAUGAUCCAAUUUGCAACGUUGAUGAUACUCGUUUUAUCUUUUAACAAAAAGAAAUAGACCGCCCCCCAGUAAGGAAUCGGUCUAUUCUUGAUCACCCUUGCAACGCCUACCGCUCUUAAUGCGGAUUGUACAUGAGGGGAGUCGUGUUACAGCACGGCUC